rnacentral:rRNA from 1 species
AACACUGGCGGCGCGGAUUAGGCAUGCAAGUCGAACGUGAAAGUUCCCUUCGGGGAACUGGAAAGUGGCGGACGGGACAGUAACGCGUGGGAAACCUACCCUUCAAUGGGGGAUAACACUUCCAACGAGGUGCUAAUACCGCAUACGCCCCCCUGGCCGCAUGGUCGGAGGGGGAAAGGUGGCCUCUGCUUGCAAGCUGCCGUUGAUGGAUGGUCCCGCGUCCCAUUAGCUAGUUGGUAGGGUAACGGCCUACCAAGGCUGCGAUGGGUAGCCGACCUGAGGGGGUGACCGGCGUCACUGGGACUGAGAUACGGCCCAGACUCCUACGGGAGGCAGCAGUCGAGAAGCUUCGGCAAUGGGCGAAAGCCUGACCGAGCGACGCCGCGUGAGCGAUGAAGGCCCUAGUGGUUGUAAAGCUCUGUCAGAUUGGGAAUAAAUGCCGGGGGCGAAUAACCCCCGGAGCUGAAGGUACCAUCAGAGGAAGCACCGGCUAACUCCGUGCCAGCAGCCGCGGUAAUACGGAGGGUGCGAGCGUUGUUCGGAUUCACUGGGUA